UGCAAUCAACAAGAAUACAUCGCAAACCACCGGUUCCAAUACAUACAUUUACCAAAAUUGCUUACGUAUUUUUUUUCGCUAAAUCUUCAGGGAAGCAGAAUUCUGAAAAUUUUAAAGAAUAAUGGGAAAGACUAGAGUUUUCAUGUUGUUGGCGUGCCUGGCCAUGGUCUUGUUGGCGGCUGGGUGUGCAGACGCGUUGUCUUGUCGGGCUCAAGGAGGUUCUCGUGGGAGCAGGUGCGUCUGGGGAUCGUGUCCGUCGGGCUGGCGAAGUGUUUUUUGGGACUCGGGAUGCCGCAGUGGUCAAAGGUGUUGUAUCUGAAAUUCAGACAUGUUGGUCGCAAUGGUUUGCUGAAAAAAUCAUUAUAUUUAUGCCUUGUUCUGUUCUGUAAAAAUUGAAAAUAUGUAGUUUUCUAAAUUUCAAGCUAGUAUAUUCAUUUUCACAAUUUUAUUAAGCAUUAUUCUAACACUAUUCAUAUACUUUUAUAAUGUUUAAUUGGCCCGAUACUAAUAACAUUUUGAAAAGCUGACAAUAAAACUUUUCGAGAAAAUUUAACUGCACAAA